UAAACAAUUAAUUGUUCUUUUUGAUUUCAAUAUCUAACUGACAGUAAAGAAUAUAAUAAUUGAGGGUUAAUUUUACAAACAGUCAUUUAACUAGAGAGAAAAUUACAAAACGGUCACUAAAGUUUAAAAUUUUUAGUAACGAUCACUUAAGUUUUGGGACGCUUUUAAAAAUGGUCACUGAAGUUUAAAAACUUUCAGAAACGCUCACUGAAAUUUUCUUUCCAGUUUUUUGGGCUACUUUUGUGACAACUUUUCUAUCAUUUUCGACCACCGAUACUACCAAAUUUGAUAUCGUUGAAAAGCCCACAAUGUCCUAUUCCAUUACUACCCAAAAUCUCCCCGUAACUCCAAGGAAUUCGAUCGGAAAAUUGCCACAAAAAUUGCCAAAAAAAUCUGAAAAUCUACCAAAAUCUUCAGAUCGACGAUUUUCCUGUGAAUUCUGACCACCAAACCGGCUAAUUUUGGCAGAUUUUGGCACAAGGGGGUUCGAUUCUUGAGAUAUGAAAUUGGAUUCCUUGUAGGCGCAGUGUACAUGCAGUUCUUACUCUCUGGUCUGUUGGGGCACAUCCCGCGAUUUACCUCACUCACAAAGCUUUAGAGGCAGGGCAGUAGUGGCCCUCAACGUUCGGGUUCAACCUUUACUUUCUUUUUUUUUUUCUUUUUUUAAUUUCGAAGUAUCUAAAUUAAACAGGGCCUUAACUUUUUGUUUUUUGGACCAGAUUUUUAUCACACAAUCAUGAUGGAGUGACAGAAAUGUUUGAGGUGUAAAGUUGGAUCACCCAAGGCCUGGCCUAAGAUGUUGAACUAGGUCAAACUUGCCAAAAAGUUCUCUUUGCCGACAAUGCUAUAGGACCAGGUCAGCGAGUUAGUACUUAUUUCGUAAAUCAAAAAAAUAACUAGAGCAGAGUUGAGAGAAGCCAAAAAUUACCAGUAAUCAUAGAACCAAACGACCCAAACCAAGCAAAUACAGAACUAAUGAUUCCUGUGAACAGCAACAAGAAAACAUGCCCGGCCAGGAGAGCCCCCGCGAGUUCUUUCUUAAUAUUGAUGAUGAUUCGCAAGGAUUAGAAACAAUUAGUAGAGUCUUCAUCUUUGUCAAAAUCACCUCAAUCACCCACUUUAUUGAACCUCAUUUUAUCCCAAAGCAUCACCUCUCACUCUUUAGUUUCUUCAGAUAUGAUAAUUUGGAUAAGAAAUGGUGGAGGUUUGUGAGGUGGGUUUGCCUUGUUAUAUAUCCACAAUCAUGUAAGUACCAAUGGUUCUACUGUUCUUUUGAAAUACUCGGUACCCAGCCUGGGCAGGCUCAAACCGAACCAGGCCUGGAUAGCACACACACAUUUACAUAUCUUGGUUAUCAUCUUGAAAAGUGUUGUAUGCAUAUCUAAUCUCUUCUUCGUACUUAAAUCACCUCCACCUCAAACAAAUCAGCAAUCCCAAAUUACAUCAACUUCAUCUUCCACCGGACCACCAUCAACUGCAACAUCGGACCACUGCCACUACCUCUUCCCCCAAUCGCUCCAUUGGUACGGGCCGAUCAUCAUCGAACACCUCUAAUUCUCUUCUCACCAUUGAAUCGGUAAUGUCAGAACCAUUGUGAUUAUUAGAGUCCUCGUCGGCGUUGAUAAUGAAGGAGGUGAAGAAAUUGACGACAAUUGUGUGCGGUAGCUAAAUUGAUUUUGAAUACAAACCUAGCAAUUUGGGAAGAUGUGUGGAGUGGGUUGUAUGCCGUGAGUAAGAUAGGAUAAAAAUACCUAGUUUUUUAUUUUUAAAAAAUAAAAAUAAUUUCUUGUAAUCCACAAAAAAAUUUCAUUUAAAAAAAUUUAUAAAAAUUUUCAAAACUCUCAGUUGAAUGCACCAUUUCAUUAGGUUUUGAAGUAAUUUCUUAACAAAAGAAAAUCUUUGAUGUUAUCCAUGUUAGAUAUUUAUACAAUAAAUAUAAUAUGCGAAAGGAAUUACUAAUUUAGAUGAAGCGUCUGGGUGGUGGAAAUUGUGAAAUUUGUGUGGAAGGUUAGGGGCUUGUGUCACAUCUCAUGCACUAAUAAAAAAGUAGUCUUGAGCUCUUUGAUUUCCUUGAUUAAAAUAAUGAGUUUUUUUUUUAAUUUUAAUUAUUUAAUGAGUCAAAUUAGUCAGUAUAAGAUAACCUUUUUUCAACAAACCACUAUCUAGAAUCUAUUUUCUACGUUCCAUUAAAAACUGUAAAUCUUUCUAGAUCAUGGUGGAGACAGUUAUCUAUUCUACGUAUAUAAACACUCAUACGAUUUUGGAAAAAAUACAUCAAAAAUUGAAAUUAUAAUUUUCAUAUUUUGUAAUUGCUAUACUCGAGUUUUACAUCUUUUUCUGAAGUACAUUUGGGAGUUUUGAAAUCAUUUGUGAUUAUUGCACAAGGGGUUUGUUUGAUCGUUGUGUCUUGUGAGUGAUUGUCCACAAAGGUCACUGCAGUUACUGGUGGGUAAUUUCAUUUUAGGAUAUCGUGUUAUCAUGAGACUCGAUCAGUCAAUAAGUUCUAUUUCUGCAUUUUAAUAUUCUACAAGAUUCUGCAAGUUACUACAACUAAUUAUUUUUCAACAAUCCAUCUGCAGUUUCUUAAGUUUUGAUUUAUGGUAAACAAUUUGACUACUUCUUUAAGAUGGCAAUUAAUUUUAUAUUCUUAUAGAGUGGAUUAUUUCAUUAAACUAUGCUAAUAAUUUUAAAAAAUUGAGCUGAAAUCUUGAAUUUCCUACUAGGUAGGUUUUAUAUAUUGCAGAAAUUCCUUGUUCUCUACUGACAACAUCAUAAUUGAAAAAGGGCAAAAUGGAUAAGAUAGUAUAAUCUCAUAGUUUCACAUCAAUAUGCUAGAUAUGUCCUUUACGAUGAAAAUGCUUCACAUCUAAAGUUUAUGUCAAUUAUAAUAGUUCUUGGUUCAACAUUUGCAUUUGCAUACAUACUUUGAAACAAGUUAUUUGAUUAAUAAAUUUGGUUUUUCGCUAGGUUUUCUACUCUAGCGUUGUUAAUCAAUACAAUGAAUUUUGUAACGUCAGUCUAUAGAAGGUUAAGUAUCAAGGAGCAUAUUUACAAGACCACUCAUGUAUGGUUUUGCUUGCCGUAUGAAUUUCAUCUCCUUUUGUAGUAAGAGUGGUACGAUAUAUUUGAAUAGGACAUUAUUUAUUUACUCAGUCAAUUAAUAUCUCAGUCUGCAAUUUUAGAUGCAUCUGGAGUGGGAUUGAUGAGGUUGAUCUUCAGGCGCUGGGCUACCAAAAAGACAGCAUCAUCCACGAAAAAUGGUUGCGAUUCACUACUUAAGAAUCUCAGCGUUCACAAAUUUGGGGGAGAGUUGAGUAAUGAAAAUAAAGAGUGGAGAAAAUUGUUAUUAUUGAAUGGUAUAUAGUGGAACUUUGUUAGCCAGCCACUCUGCCUCCGAACAGUGUCAUAUUUCUUCUUGAUUGUAAGAUGAAGAAAGAUGAAAGCAUUUGGUAUAUUAGGUAAGUCAGUAGAAAUCAAUCGCUCAGUUGAAUUCAUUGUAUCUAAAGGAUUGAUGAAAAAGAGAUGGGCAUUUAUUAAUACAUUAUAAAGUUGAUAAUUCCUGCCAAAGAAUUUGAUCUCUUCAUGCCAAAAUACAGGUGCUGCUUUUCUUGCUUGUCCAUAAGUAGAAACUAUGAUCGGAUUAAAUUCAUCAACGGCCACCAACUUUAUACUUAGCCCCCCUUUGGCCCUCAUCCUCCUUAUCAUUCUUUUUCUCUCUCUUAUUUUCAAUUACAC
rnacentral:lncRNA from 1 species